rnacentral:rRNA from 1 species
GAUGAACGCUAGCGGCAGGCUUAACACAUGCAAGUCGAGGGGCAGCGGGAUGUAGCAAUACAUUGCCGGCGACCGGCGGAUGGGUGCGUAACGCGUAUGCAACCUACCUUAUACAGGGGAAUAACCUUUCGAAAGGGAGACUAACACCCCAUAGUAUUACAAAUAGGCAUCUUUUUGUGAUUAAAUAUUUAUAGGUAUAAGAUGGGCAUGCGUAUGAUUAGCUAGUUGGUAAGGUAACGGCUUACCAAGGCGACGAUCAUUAGGGGUUCUGAGAGGAAGGUCCCCCACACUGGUACUGAGACACGGACCAGACUCCUACGGGAGGCAGCAGUGAGGAAUAUUGGUCAAUGGGCGCAAGCCUGAACCAGCCAUGCCGCGUGCAGGAAGACGGCCUUAUGGGUUGUAAACUGCUUUUACAUAAGACUAACCGUAUAUUUGCGAAUAUACCUGAAUGUAUUAUGAGAAUAAGGAUCGGCUAACUCCGUG